AAUUUUCCACAAUGGGCGAAAGCCUGAUGGAGCAACGCCGCGUGAGUGAAGAAGGAUUUCGGUUCGUAAAACUCUGUGGUAAGGGAAGAACAAGUACAGUAGUAACUGGCUGUACCUUGACGGUACCUUAUUAGAAAGCCACGGCUAACUACGUGCCAGCGGCCGCGGUAAUACGUAGGCGGCAAGCGUUGUCCGGAAUAAUUGGGCGUAAAGCGCGCGCAGGCGGUCCUUUAAGUCUGAUGUGAAAGCCCACGGCUCAACCGUGGAGGGUCAUUGGAAACUGGGGGACUUGAGUGCAGAAGAGGAAAGUGGAAUUCCAAGUGUAGCGGUGAAAUGCGUAGAGAUUUGGAGGAACACCAGUGGCGAAGGCGACUUUCUGGUCUGUAACUGGCGCUGAGGCGCGAAAGCGUGGGGAGCAAACAGG
rnacentral:rRNA from 1 species